GAUUUAUUGGGUUUAAAGGGAGCGUAGGCCGGAUAUUAAGCGUGUUGUGAAAUGUAGAUGCUCAACGUCUGCACUGCAGCGCGAACUGGUGUCCUUGAGUGCGCAGGAAGUCGGCGGAAUUCGUUGUGUAGCGGUGAAAUGCUUAGAUAUGACGAAGAACUCCGAUUGCGAAGGCAGCUGACUGUAGCGUUACUGACGCUGAAGCUCGAAGGUGCGGGUAUCGAACAGGAUUAGAUACCCUGGUAGUCCGCACAGUAAACGAUGGAUGCUCGUUGUUCGCCCAAUUGAGGGUGAGUGACUUAGGGAAACCGUUAAGCAUCCCACCUGGGGAGUACGCCGGCAACGGUGAAACUCAAAGGAAUUGACGGGGGCCCGCACAAGCGGAGGAACAUGUGGUUUAAUUCGAUGAUACGCGAGGAACCUUACCCGGGCUUGAACUGUAGGCGAACGAUUCAGAGAUGAUGAGGUCCUUCGGGACGCCUAUGGAGGUGCUGCAUGGUUGUCGUCAGCUCGUGCCGUGAGGUGUCGGCUUAAGUGCCAUAACGAGCGCAACCCUUGCCGCCGGUUGCCAUCACGCAGUGGUGGGCACUCCGGUGGGACUGCCAUCGCAAGAUGUGAGGAAGGUGGGGAUGACGUCAAAUCAGCACGGCCCUUACGUCCGGGGCUACACACGUGUUACAAUGG
rnacentral:rRNA from 1 species